UACGAAGGGGGCUAGCGUUGUUCGGAAUUACUGGGCGUAAAGCGCGCGCAGGCGGUUUUCCAAGUCAGUGGUGAAAGCCCGGAGCUCAACUCCGGAAAUGCCAUUGAAACUGUAAAACUUGAGGACGAGAGAGGUGAGUGGAAUUCCCAGUGUAGAGGUGAAAUUCGUAGAUAUUGGGAAGAACACCCGUGGCGAAGGCGGCUCUCUGGGACGGUACUGACGCUGAGACGCGAAAGCGUGGGGAGCGAACAGG
rnacentral:rRNA from 1 species